rnacentral:rRNA from 1 species
CCUACGGGAGGCUGCAGUGAGGAAUAUUGGUCAAUGGGCGGAAGCCUGAACCAGCCAAGUCGCGUGAGGGAAUAAGGCCCUACGGGUCGUAAACCUCUUUUGCCGGGGAGCAAGGGCGUGGACGUGUCCCGGCCCGGAUAGUACCCGGAGAAAAAGCAUCGGCUAACUCCGUGCCAGCAGCCACGGUAAUACGGAGGAUGCUAGCGUUAUCCGGAUUUAAUGGGUUUAAAGGGUGCGUAGGCGGGCUUUUAAGUCAGCGGUAAAAAUUCGGGGCGCAACCCCGUCCGGUCGGUGAUACUGGGGGACUUGAGUGGGAGAGAAGAAGGCGGAAUGCGUGGUGUAGCGGUGAAAUGCAUAGAGA